rnacentral:tRNA from 1 species
GGAGGGGUCGCAUAGCCUGGUCGAGUGCGGGGGCUUGCUAAGCCCUUGAGCCGGGUUUCCGGCUCCGCGGGUUCGAAUCCCGCCCCCUCCG